AUAAACCAAAACAAAGUGAAAAUAAUUGUAUGGCCAAAAGAGAUUAGAGAAAACUGCAAUGGGUUGUGUAUUAAAACGAAAGUACUCAAAAGCGUAAAAAAAUAUAUUCACUUCACUUUAAAAUAUGUCUGUCAACUCCAAAUGGCUACAGGUCAUCGUGGACGAAGAUGAGCCACGACCGCGUCUAAACACUGUCACCAGCUGCAUGACGUUGUGCGAUAUCAAAUGCGACAAUUACGUGCGACUCAUUGCGGCAGACAUCUCAUUAGAGAAUGAACCGACGGCGACCUUGAAAAUUUUUCGUGGCACUACGCUGCACACGGAAUUGAAGCUCAACGGUAUACCAGCUGCCAUACAAAGUUUCUACAGCGACGAGUCGGAGCCCAAAACGCCAAUCGUUGCAGUGGCCAUUGCAGAGUCAGUUCUAUUUUUUCGGAGUUUGAAACCUUAUUUCAAGUACACAGUGCCGGGCUUAGAGGCCGAGGAGUUGGAACAAGAUCUCUGGCGUAAAUUGCCAACGGUACGCGUGGAACAGCAGCCAGCAUUAGUUGAAAGCUUAAAAUCCAUUGAGCGUCCGAAGAUGUCGAGAAAGUCUCAGAAGCUCAUACAACUGCCAAUCGAGGAACAAAAUGACUUCAUUUUGAAGUAUGCAGAUGCAACGGUAAUGCGUCAUGCGAACAUUGUUGCCCUCAGUUGCCUGCAACGCAUCUCCAGCGACGCGAAUCCACCCUCACAUUUGGUUAUAGCCACCGAUAAUGGUGAUGUAUUGGUGUUGGAACCACAAAGUUUCGGUUUGAUCUACCAAGCGAAGACCUGCGCAUAUGAAACCGUACCAUCUAUGAUGGCCGUGCAUGGCACUUUCGAGACUGACUUUUGCAUAGUGAUUGCCACACGCUAUGGUGGUGUAUAUUUGCUUCGGAAGUCGACUAGGGAAGGACAGGAAAUAUUCAAAAUUUCCCAUCCAUUUACCGGUUUAAUGCUUUUACCGGUCGAUCAAACGAUCACAUUAUGCGCCAUGGAUUGUCGUCUUGUUUGCUAUUCGAAAAAGGGCAAGCAAUUGUAUGUGAACAAACUUUCAGCACUGCCGAUAUGUAUGAUCCCCAUCAGUCUACCCCAUUUGGGACUAACACUUUGUUGUGUAGCGCUCGAGGGCGGUUUAGUGCAGUUGUACUUGCAACGAUAUUUGGUUAAUGAAUUCCAUAUGGUAUCCACAAUCGGUGCGAUGUGUUUCGGACGAACUGGCCUUGAAGAUUAUGUGCUAAAUAUGAUUAGUGUUGAGGGUGAAAUAUUCGUAAAAAUUUUGAAAAGGACUGCGGGUUUCGAUCCGAACGAGCUGCUCGCACUUAAGGAGAAUAUCGAUAAGAAACAGGUGGUUGAAACGAUUUUGGAAAAGUCUAAGAAAAGUUCAAUAUUUGUGGAACAGGCGGCCAGGGAAAAACAAAACGCCAAGGCGACCUAUGGUGCCUUUCAAGCCGAGCUAUGGCGCUUACGUUAUGUAGCCGCCCGCGCCACCGCCGACGCCAUUAACUCCUCUGAGAGCACUAUUUCUGGAGAUAUUAUGCACGCACCUGUCAAGCUAUCGGCAGAGGUGUGUGGCGUUGGUCCCGAAUUCCGACUAUAUCUAACAAUACAGAAUAUGUCAAGCUACAAGAUGGCCUCUAACCUAACCGUGCUUUUACACGCUGAUCGACGUCACUACACCAUAGCGAAAACAAUUGCCAAGUUGCCUAGCAUAUUGCCCGGAGUGCCAUUGAAAAUCGAUUUUGAGGUCGUAGCAGUCUUGGAACCGAACGAUAAACUACCACCACACACACUUACGCCUGACAACUCACAAAUACGCGUAAUGUUGUUGAAAGCACGCCAAACAAAGCCGCUGAUCGCCGCAGUAAUCGCCAUGCCUCAAUCGGAAGCGAAUAUUUGAAUGCGAUAUUAAGGCAUGCUUGUGUGUGUGCGUGUUUUAUAGAAGCAAUAUAAAGUAGUUGUGCCUAAAAGUAUGUUAGUAAAAUGCAAAGCAAGGAGAUAAGUUUAAAAAACACACCCUAUAAAUAAUUCAGCACCCGACUAUAAAAAUAAGGAACGCUUCUAUUUAAUUUGUAUAACCUAACUACUUUAAGCAAACAAUUUAAUUCACAAUUUCCCGAAAAUCAAAGCGUGCCUGUUCUGCACAGCUAAUUGAUUUCUUUUACACGUUUCUCAUCAGUGCUCAGUCUCGUGCGUGCAGUAAAAAGAGAUUAAAGUUUAAAAUUAGGCAACGAUUUUGUAACAUAUUUCAAUAACGCAUACUAGCAUAUGUACUUGUAUAACCUAUUUAACUAGUAGUUGUGUUAUAGUAAACUGCAAUAAAAUCAACUUUUAGUUGACCG